rnacentral:lncRNA from 1 species
GGGAAGCCGCAGAUAUACUGUUAACACAACACAACCAGGCCGAAUGUAGCUCUCAAUCUCAGUAGGACUGUGAGAUAACCAGUCAAGAAUCUGAAAUUUUAAACCAUUCAAAGAGCAUUUCAGAAAAAGAAAAAGUAAGACGGAGUUUAAGCCAUCCAGAAACAUACAACAAAACAACAACCAUGUGUACUCAAGACAAUGAAAUACCUGAGCUCGUACGACAAAUGGAAAAUCACUAGGAUCUUUCCCGAAUAGUUUAAAAACAAUCCGGUCCGUGCGUGUCUGCAUCCAACAAAAAUAAAUUUUCAGUUCAGGAAAAGAAGGGAUAUCAAGUUAACUAGUCUUGGUUGUUGUCAUCUUCCUUCUCUUUCAUUUUGUAAGAUACUCUUUCUUUUAUAAUAAAACCACAAACUUAAGCACCGAAAAGUACUAGAUAUAAGUUGGCGGACACAGUGUUUUUAAAGUAAAAAGCACAAAGAAGCGACGAGGUCUGCGAAGCUUGAAGUGCAAUGGGAGAAGUGAAGCACAUCCUUAGAAGUGACGUACAAAAUUUACGAAAGGUCAAAGUACCGCAUGUAUAUGAAUAAGUACUAUCACAAACAAGUAUCAAUUGAAAAAACUAAUUUUAGCGUCCGAAAUACAAUGAUGCUGAUAUUAAUCUAACUCCCCAAAGCUGAGAUUCAAAACAUCGACUGCUUCUUGUUGGUGCACUCAACGCAUCACCUGUUUGAAUCACACUCCUCUCUACAGGACAUGACUUUACCAAUGAAGCGAUAACACCUUGCUUCGCAACACUUUAAGCAACAAAAGAUGACCUUUAAUAAUACUGAGCGAACUGGCAAUUUGAUGACAUUCAACCUUUAUCUAACUACAUAAUGCAUCAUCAAAUAAGACCAUUCUGCAAUACUCAGAAACUGGCAUGUUCUUAAGGAUCAGAGAAACCAUAAUUAAAUAGUAGUAAGAAUUUUGCUGCCGGUUACUGGAACUAGAGCUUCUAUAAUUGCAGCCACCAGCUUGUUCGCGUUGCCUAGCAUCAAUCUUGGAGAAAAGGACCAGCAAGGGACAUUUAACAGUUCGAUGAUCAUUUCGAAACCCAGAGUACGAUAAGUAUUGCACUCUUAAUGAAUAUUUUAUUCCCUCUUUUUCUUUCCCCUGUUUUUACUCACAGUGUGUGAAAAGAACAUCGAAGAUAGUUAAAGGCGAAAGUAGGAGAGAUAAGGGAAAUUCAGAGACAACUCAAGACAGAACUUGAUAGAGCGUACAAGUCAACCUCCAAUGAAAGGAAGGGGAGAAAAGCAGAAAUCACCACAAUUCAGCUUCAGAAAGUUUAUCAUAAUGUUAGCGGGAUAUUUCAAUAGUAAGAAUAGACCACCAAAAAAAGAGGUGAUCUAAAGACGAAAAUAGGAACUCAAGUGUUACCACUUAGACAGAAAUUGACUUUAUAAUACUCAGACACCAAAAGUGUAAAUAUGGAUCUAUAGUUAGCAAGGUAUUCCUCACACAGAAAGAGAGACUUCAUUGAUAGGUUUUAACAGGCUAUAGAACUCGAGAAAACUAUUAUGAUUCAAGCUAUUGCCUCUGUCCCCUUAUCAAACUUAGUCCACUGAAAAAUGUACCCAAUUCUAAGUCUCUGUGUCCAGCUGAGAAAAGGUAACUUGAUCCCAUCUUCAGAUAAACCAUUUCAAUAAAAACAAGGGUAUAAAGAAAGUAAAGAACGAAAAAAGAAGAAACCAACAAAAUGAAAUUUGCAGCACAAGUAAAAGUGUACUUAGAUGAUUAUAGGAGUACCUGAGUGUCACCACUGGAACUGGAAGGUGACUGGGCAGAAGCGGAAUCUGAAUUACCACUUGUUUGAGGUGGACUUGACUGGUGAGAGUCCUGCUGUAACCAAGAUGGGCACUGCACAGGGGAUCUAUCUAUAUCUUCUAUAUUGUCAUCCGAAUCAACAUAAACAUCAUUCAAGUCAAAGUCAAUCAACUUGCUCCUUCCAGUGGUACUUCCCCUGCCUUGUGCGUAAGCUUGAGAAUUGCUUUGAAUUGGGGGAAACAAAAUGCCUGGGCUUUGAGAAGAAGCCGUCCGCGCAUCUUCAAGCCUGACAUCAUGUGCAUCCAACCUUUUCUGAGGCACCUCAGCUGCCGAAUUAGUGAACUGAUGUUCUUUGGCUCUAGGAGGUGCCUGUGAACCAUUUGAGAUCAAGGAAGCUAAUUCUGGAUUUCGAAGGAUUGACCUAUUGUUCAGCAAGUCUGAAGAUUCUUGCAGAAGUCCGGAUAAGCUUUUAUCCCCGUUCAACGAACCCUGGCCGGCAAUGCUUCUUAGUAGAUGGGCCAAAAGGUCCUGAUCUUCACUGUGGUUAGUUCCGUUGGCUGCAAUAUAUGAAAAUCAUAACCUUGCAGUUAAUUCUAAAGCACAACAACAACUACUACUACCACUAUUCAAUCCCCAAACAAUUUGGGGUCUGCUUAUGAAUCCUCACUAUAGCACAAGAAACAAAAUUCUCAGAACCAAAAAAAUAAUUUAAAACUAUUUGCAAAUUCAAAACAUAGCAGAAGAAAAACUAGGAAUUACUCACAGUGCAUAUUGGAGAGCAUUUUUAGCAGGCUCAUCAAGGAAUAACCACUAGCUUGUCCAUCAUUCGAUGAAUUGUUGUUAGCUACAGAUUCUGAUUGUGUCUUUCUCCUCCUUUUAUUAUGCCCAGCUAGGCGUCGACGACAACUUCGUUUUCCUUCAUCAAACUCUUGAAGUGCAUGAAACCUGUGUAUCAAAAGCAGAAUCUUUGGAAUAUAACCACAGAAUUAUUGAAAAAGCAAUUUCCCAAGAUGAAGCAACCAAACACAGAAAAAGAUUAAAAAAAUUUUAAAGGGAUUCACAUGACUUGCCAUCAAUCAAUCCACUACUCAACAUUCACAGAUUAUUCUAGGUCAGUUAUAUUAGUCAUUCAUAUCAUUUCCACUUUUUUCGCACCCAUUUCAUUCUUUUUAUUAUGCCGGGCUAGGAUGAAACCCGUGUUUUAUCCAAGCAGAAUCUUUGGAAUAAUAAACACAGAAUUAUUCAGAAAUCAACAGUCCAAACACAAACAACCAAACGCAGAAAAAGAUGGAAUUUUUUAAAGGAUUCACAAGACUAGCCAUCAAUCAAUUAAUCAUUCAACUACAACUCAAUCCCAAAUUAUAUAGAUCGGCUAUAUUAGUCAUUUAUAUAAAGUAAAAAAGAAAUACCUGCUGCACUGCUGGCAGAAACGCUGCAUAACAUUCCCAACGAGAGCUCUACUAGCUUUGGAGUGCAUCUCACAAACUUUAUGCCGCCUAUGGUAGUCUUUAGCUUUACUUAGAUCGGUCCCACAAUCAUCAACCUGACAUACAGCUCUUGUAGUACCAGUAACAGGUGCAGGUGCAGGUGCAGCAGCAGCCAAUUUUGUCCUUUUUUCAGCUACAGGCUCAGCUUGUCCACCAAGCUUCAACGAAAGGGUCCCACCGGAAUCAUUUUCAUCAACGAUAAUCACCCUUCUCCUUUUCUCCAGUUCCCUCCUCUGUUGUUCUAUCCCAUGAUUUGUUUCGUCUGAACAGGAAGAUGAACUGUUGGAUGAAGCCACCAGAUUCCCAGUUUCGACUGGAAAAAACUGCCUGCUCUGGUAAUUAUUAGAAGGGUUUUGACGAAGAGGAGUCGCAAUAAAAAGAUCUCCGUCCCAUUUCCAAUCAGUUACAUCCCACUCUAAGCUCCUCUUCCCUAAUCCUCGCAGAUCCGGUCCUCCCAUAUGGUAAUAACGCUCUCCCACACUCGCUUCCAUCUAAGCUCCUUUUUGUGUGUGUGCACGCGCGCGUUUGAAGAUCUAAAUCCGGAGAUUUAGGUGAUUGAUGAUCGGACAAGUUUGAAUAACAGAUCAAAAGUCAAAAUUGAGAAGAAAUAAAAAAGAAGAAAGAUGAGAACUAAUCACUAAUCAGCUUCGGUACGACCCCAAAAGUCGAGUACAAAGAGAUGACAACCAUGAUACCGAUUAACAGCAAGCCACAUACCCACACCUAAUUUCAGCGUUGACUAAGGAAAAGACUCGUGAAUUUGAAGCAUCUAGAACCGGAAAUCAGAUAAUUUAGCUCAACAAAGAAGAAAGAACUUCUUUCCGGCGGUCAGGAAACGGCGGGAAGAAGGGGACGGCGGCGACCGACGGUGAAGAAAGGACAAAGGAAGGUGGUUAGGGAGUUGGGAGGUGGGAGGUGGGGGAGGGGGAG